AUUGAACGCUGGCGGCAGGCUUAACACAUGCAAGUCGAACGAGUGGCGGACGGGUGAGUAAUGUUUGGGAAUUUCGCUUAUGGAGGGGGAUAACUACGGGAAACGGUAGCUAAUACCGCGUACCAUAGGCUGAGCCCUAGUGGGAUUAGGUAGUUGGUAAGGUAAAGGCUCACCAAGACGACGAUCUCUAGCUGGUCUGAGAGGGUGACCGGCCACACUGGGACUGAGACACGGCCCAGACUCCUACGGGAGGCAGCAGUUGGGAAUAUUGCGCAAUGGGGGCAACCUGACGCAGCCAUGCCGCGUGAAUGAAGAAGGCCUUCGGGUUGUAAAGUUCUUUCAGUAGGGAGGCGUUAACUACACAAAAAGCACCGGCUAACUCCGUGCCAGCAGCCGCGGUAAUAC
rnacentral:rRNA from 1 species